rnacentral:rRNA from 1 species
AGCAGGCGCGCAAAUUACCCACUCCCGGCACGGGGAGGUAGUGACGAAAAAUAACGAUACGGGACUCAUCCGAGGCCCCGUAAUCGGAAUGAGUACACUCUAAAUCCUUUAACGAGGAUCAAUUGGAGGGCAAGUCUGGUGCCAGCAGCCGCGGUAAUUCCAGCUCCAAUAGCGUAUAUUAAAGUUGUUGCGGUUAAAAAGCUCGUAGUCGAAUCUGUGUCCCGCGCCGCCGGUUCAUCGCUCGCGGUGUUCAACUGGCGUGUCCGCGGGACGUCCUGCCGGUGGGCCCAACCCGAGAGGGCGGCCCAACUGCAAAUCCCACCGCGGUGCUCUUCAUUGAGUGUCGAGGUGGGCCGGCACGUUUACUUUGAACAAAUUAGAGUGCUUAAAGCAGGCUAAAAUUUCGCCUGAAUACUUAGUGCAUGGAAUAAUGGAAUAGGACCUCGGUUCUAUUUUGUUGGUUUUCGGAACCCCGAGGUAAUGAUUAAUAGGAACGGAUGGGGGCAUUCGUAU